GUGUCUCCGUCUAGUUUACACACUGACUCUGGCAUUAUAUUCUUAAACUAUAAAGUCUUCCAUUUAUGCCCAUUCCGAAAGCCUAAGCAAACAAAACUAGUCUAAGAAACGGCCAGUUUACUCUGGAAAUCUGAUCCUCUCCUUGCCCAGGAACCACAUGGAUGUCAAGGAGCUCACAUGUCAGUUCUCCCUCUGUCCCCAACAGCCCCUGGACUUUGGGAGAAGGCCUGUCUUUUCUUUGGAGUUUAGUUUUCUCCUUUUUUAAAAAAUGAGGCGCUGUCUAGACAAACAGCCCAACGCCGUUUAGCUGUAAAUGCUGUUUUGCAAGGCUGAAAGAUCUGAGACUGUGUGUGCCAAGAGGGCUUCAACAUCAUACCUCAUGUGGACUAAUGUACUUAAGGUUCAUCAGAGGACCUGGAACCUGCUUAGGAGCACAAUUUGAUUCCCAAUGAUCCUUGAACAAGUCCUGCCACCUCCUGCCCCCAAUGGGUUUUUACAGUUUCCGUUAGAAGUUGUGGGUUGAGCUAAUUAAUAAAGAAUAGGAUUCUGUGAGCUAGUACAACUUCAGGUUUAUCUGAUUUCAUGUGCCGGCCUCCCUGUUCCACAACCCAUAAUUUUUCCCCUCAUAUAUGUUUUAUAAUUGAUGUUUCAGGAAUUUAAAAGACAAGUUUAAGGCUUUCACUAAGGCUAAGGUUCCUUCACUUUCAUUAGUAACACAUUGGCCAGGAUGUGUUGUAGGGACAGAAGCAGUUUCAAAAUUGCUGCCUCAGUCACGGUGCCUGCAAGUGACUUAGCCUGGGUGUUGUGACUGUCCCCAAAGGUACACUUACAGGGUAUGUCACUCCCCAUUUCUCCCCCCACGCCUCAGCUGGGUCGCAUUUCCUAUUUUACAGCUAUAAGUCAGGUUCUGGAUACCGUUCAGGGAAUACAGGUGCAGUAUGCUUAAUGCAACAGGGGUAUUUCUAUGACCAUUUACAUCCGUGAGGAUUUUGUAAGCACCAUUUAAAAUUAUCCAAAGGGUGCUCUCUCUGUAACUUGAUGCUUUUCACAAAGCAGAAGACCUUUUGAAAACAUGACAUUAUUUCCUACUUUCUGAGUUCUAAUUUCAGGUUUUCCUGAACUAAUUUUAAAAAACGAUGGAGGCUCUCUCGUUCUUUUACAUUUGUCGAGCAGGCUCCACACCCACACAGGAGCC
rnacentral:lncRNA from 1 species